rnacentral:tRNA from 2 species
AACGAGGUAUCCAGCGGCAAUCUUAUGUUUUUGGGCUCAUAACCCGAAGGUUGCAGGUUCAAGUCCUGCCCCCGCUACCA